rnacentral:lncRNA from 1 species
GGACAACAGGUUUGGCAUCUACACACUGGGAGGUGAAUAGACUUUUAAAACUGCACAACCACUUCUAUCAUUCCUGCUUGAUCAUCCACCCAUACCCCUUCCUCAUUCUGUAAUCGUAUGAUUUCCUUUCUCUUUUUCCUCCCGCUAGCCACUCAAUGGAAGUAACAGGUAUUCUGCUCCACAUCCUUAUACCAGAAGUGCUUUGUUCCCUGUUUCCAGUGUGCCUCCUCCCUUUGUAGGACAUGGAGCAGGUCCUGCCUACUACUCUCAAAUUGAAACACGUUACUUUCAUCCUCAAGGUAUCGUAAUUCCUCCAACCUUCUUUUUAGUUCAUGAAUCAGCGGUUUAAACGUAACUUGGUGCUGCUUCCUCCAAACUUGCAGCGCGGUUGCAUACGCCUCCAGACGACUAGCAAUGUCGACCCCAUUUGUCUUCUUCCAACUCCUAUAAUAACUUGCCGCAUAGCCGGAAGAAUAGUCCACUAAUUAUCGAAAUAGAACAGUGUAGUGUUGAGAAUGAUGGGAGAGUGGUUCGAAGUUGGUUCUACCAGAUCAUGUAACUCGGCAUCGAGAAAUAAAGCUAACCAUUAUGUAUUCACCAUGCAUCGAUCAAGACGUUCUUCCACCCCUUGGAGAGGGAUGUCUACAAGGUUACAGUCUUCCCCUGCCUCUUUGAAAACCUCUUAUAAAAGUGAAGUGUACGCUCCGUUCUACCUCGCUUCUUGUUUGCACGCAACAAGUCAUUGAACUCUCCCAUAACACACCAUGAUCCCACCAACAUACCUGCCAAGCUACAUAAAAAGAUCCCACAAUUCAGCACGCCCCAAGCUAUCAGGAAGGCCAUAGAAGCCCGUCAAAUGAAACGACACCUGUUUUUCAUCUUUCAUCGACACAGCAAUAUAAUGAUGGUCCAUACUACGAACUUGAACUUUAUUCUCAUCCUUUCAAAAGAGGGUUAAGCCCCCAUGUGACCAUUAUUAUCAAUAACAAGACCACUACAAAAUUCAAAGAAGUUUU